rnacentral:rRNA from 1 species
GACGAACGCUGGCGGCGUGCUUAACACAUGCAAGUCGAACGGAAAGGCCCUGCUUUUGUGGGGUGCUCGAGUGGCGAACGGGUGAGUAACACGUGAGUAACCUGCCCUUGACUUUGGGAUAAAUUCAGGAAACUGGGGCUCAUACCGGAUAGGAGCUCCUGCUGCAUGGUGGGGGUUGGAAAGUUUCGGCGGUUGGGGAUGGACUCGCGGCUUAUCAGCUUGUUGGUGGGGUAGUGGCUUACCAAGGCUUUGACGGGUAGCCGGCCUGAGAGGGUGACCGGCCACAUUGGGACUGAGAUACGGCCCAGACUCCUACGGGAGGCAGCAGUGGGGAAUAUUGCACAAUGGGCGGAAGCCUGAUGCAGCAACGCCGCGUGCGGGAUGACGGCCUUCGGGUUGUAAACCGCUUUCGCCUGUGACGAAGCGUGAGUGACGGUAAUGGGUAAAGAAGCACCGGCUAACUACGUG